CAUGCAAGUCGAACGAUGAUGCCCAGCUUGCUGGGUGGAUUAGUGGCGAACGGGUGAGUAACACGUGAGUAACCUGCCCCUGACUCUGGGAUAAGCGUUGGAAACGACGUCUAAUACUGGAUAUGAUCACUGGCCGCAUGGUCUGGUGGUGGAAAGAUUUUUUGGUUGGGGAUGGACUCGCGGCCUAUCAGCUUGUUGGUGAGGUAAUGGCUCACCAAGGCGACGACGGGUAGCCGGCCUGAGAGGGUGACCGGCCACACUGGGACUGAGACACGGCCCAGACUCCUACGGGAGGCAGCAGUGGGGAAUAUUGCACAAUGGGCGAAAGCCUGAUGCAGCAACGCCGCGUGAGGGAUGACGGCCUUCGGGUUGUAAACCUCUUUUAGUAGGGAAGAAGCGAAAGUGACGGUACCUGCAGAAAAAGCACCGGCUAACUACGUGCCAGCAGCCGCGGUAAUACGUAGGGUGCAAGCGUUGUCCGGAAUUAUUGGGCGUAAAGAGCUCGUAGGCGGUUUGUCGCGUCUGCUGUGAAAUCCCGAGGCUCAACCUCGGGCUUGCAGUGGGUACGGGCAGACUAGAGUGCGGUAGGGGAGAUUGGAAUUCCUGGUGUAGCGGUGGAAUGCGCAGAUAUCAGGAGGAACACCGAUGGCGAAGGCAGAUCUCUGGGCCGUAACUGACGCUGAGGAGCGAAAGCAUGGGGAGCGAACAGGAUUAGAUACCCUGGUAGUCCAUGCCGUAAACGUUGGGCGCUAGAUGUAGGGACCUUUCCACGGUUUCUGUGUCGUAGCUAACGCAUUAAGCGCCCCGCCUGGGGAGUACGGCCGCAAGGCUAAAACUCAAAGGAAUUGACGGGGGCCCGCACAAGCGGCGGAGCAUGCGGAUUAAUUCGAUGCAACGCGAAGAACCUUACCAAGGCUUGACAUACACCGGAAACGGCCAGAGAUGGUCGCCCCCUUGUGGUCGGUGUACAGGUGGUGCAUGGUUGUCGUCAGCUCGUGUCGUGAGAUGUUGGGUUAAGUCCCGCAACGAGCGCAACCCUCGUUCUAUGUUGCCAGCGGGUUAUGCCGGGGACUCAUAGGAGACUGCCGGGGUCAACUCGGAGGAAGGUGGGGAUGACGUCAAAUCAUCAUGCCCCUUAUGUCUUGGGCUUCACGCAUGCUACAAUGGCCGGUACAAAGGGCUGCGAUACCGUAAGGUGGAGCGAAUCCCAAAAAGCCGGUCUCAGUUCGGAUUGAGGUCUGCAACUCGACCUCAUGAAGUCGGAGUCGCUAGUAAUCGCAGAUCAGCAACGCUGCGGUGAAUACGUUCCCGGGCCUUGUACACACCGCCCGUCAAGUCAUGAAAGUCGGUAACACCCGAAGCCGGUGGCCUAACCCUUGUGGAAGGAGCCGUCGA
rnacentral:rRNA from 1 species